rnacentral:rRNA from 1 species
UACGUAGGGACCAAGCGUUGUUCGGAUUUACUGGGCGUAAAGGGCGCGUCGGCUGCUUAACAAGUCACUUGUGAAAUCUCCGGGCUUAACUCGGAACGGCCAAGUGAAACUGUCAAGCUAGAGUGCAGAAGGGGCAAUCGGAAUUCUUGGUGUAGCGGUGAAAUGCGUAGAUAUCAAGAGGAACACCUGAGGUGAAGACGGGUUGCUGGGCUGACACUGACGCUGAGGCGCGAAAGCCAGGGGAGCAAACGGG